UCUCGAUAGCGUAAAUGUUAACUCUUAUUUGUAUGGAAUGGGAUCGUUUGCAUACGUUUGCCGCUAGGGGCGCUAUUCCAAUUGCAUGCAAAUUUAAGGUAACUUUUACGCUAUCGA
rnacentral:pre_miRNA from 9 species